CCAGACUCCUACGGGAGGCAGCAGUGGGGAAUAUUGCACAAUGGGCGGAAGCCUGAUGCAGCAACGCCGCGUGCGGGAUGACGGCCUUCGGGUUGUAAACCGCUUUCGCCUGUGACGAAGCGUGAGUGACGGUAAUGGGUAAAGAAGCACCGGCUAACUACGUGCCAGCAGCCGCGGUGAUACGUAGGGUGCGAGCGUUGUCCGGAUUUAUUGGGCGUAAAGGGCUCGUAGGUGGUUGAUCGCGUCGGAAGUGUAAUCUUGGGGCUUAACCCUGAGCGUGCUUUCGAUACGGGUUGACUUGAGGAAGGUAGGGGAGAAUGGAAUUCCUGGUGGAGCGGUGGAAUGCGCAGAUAUCAGGAGGAACACCAGUGGCGAA
rnacentral:rRNA from 1 species